rnacentral:rRNA from 1 species
UACGUAGGGGGCAAGCGUUGUCCGGAAUUAUUGGGCGUAGAGCGCGCGCAGGCGGUCUCUUAAGUCUGAUGUGAAAGCCCACGGCUCAACCGUGGAGGGUCCUUGGAAACUGGGAGACUGGAGUAUAGGAGAGGAAAGUGGAAUUCCACGUGUAGCGGUGAAGUGCGUAGAGAUGUGGAGGAACACCAGUGGCGAAGGCGACUUUCUGGCCUAUUACUGACGCUGAGGCGCGAAAGCGUGGGGAGCAAACAGG